UACGUAGGUGGCAAGCGUUAUCCGGAUUCAUUGGGUUUAAAGGGAGCGUAGGUGGCCUUGUAAGUCAGUGGUGAAAUCCUGUCGCUUAACGAUAGAAUUGCCAUUGAUACUGCAGGGCUUGAGUACAGUUGCCGUUGGCGGAAUAUGACGUGUAGUGGUGAAAUACAUAGAUAUGUCAUAGAACACCGAUUGCGAAGGCAGCUGACGAAACUGUAACUGACACUGAGGCUCGAAAGUGUGGGGAUCAAACAGG
rnacentral:rRNA from 1 species